rnacentral:rRNA from 1 species
CCUACGGGAGGCAGCAGUGGGGAAUAUUGCACAAUGGGGGAAACCCUGAUGCAGCGACGCCGCGUGAGUGAAGAAGUAUUUCGGUAUGUAAAGCUCUAUCAGCAGGGAAGAAAAUGACGGUACCUGACUAAGAAGCCCCGGCUAACUACGUGCCAGCAGCCGCGGUAAUACGUAGGGGGCAAGCGUUAUCCGGAUUUACUGGGUGUAAAGGGAGCGUAGGCGGGAAGGUAAGUCAGAAGUGAAAGCCCGGGGCUCAACUGCGGGACUGCUUUUGGAACUAUCUAGCUAGAUUGCAGGAGAGGGAAGUGGAAUUCCUAGUGUAGCGGUGAAAUGCGUAGAUAUUAGGAGGAACACCAGUGGCGAAGGCGACUUACUGGACUGUAAAUGACGCUGAGGCUCGAAAGCGUGGGGAGCAAACAGGAUUAGAUACCCGAGUAGUC